UGCGGCCGGGGCGGCCCCGCCGCGCUCCGCCGGCCCCGCCGGGGCGGCCGCGGCGCCGGAGGAACGGCCGGGGAGAGCCAGACAGACAAAGAACAUGGCGAGGGGAGGAGGAGCCUGCGUUGCCUCCUCUACCGCGAAAGGCGCUCCGGGGGCGUACAAUGCCCGGCACGGGGCGGGCUCGCUUACCCCCGCCCCCUUUCCCCGCCCCUGUGGCUGGGCCGGCGGGGGGCUGGGCUGGGACGGGACGGGACGGUCUGGGCUGGGCUAGGCUAGGCUAGGCUGGGCUGGAGGCGGACGUCGGGAGCGGGCCCACUGCCUGCCGCAAGUUUCGCCCGGAGUGGGAAAGUUGGGCGCGGCCCGGCGGGACCCGGCCAGGCACAACUUCAAGACAUUCAGGAGUACUUUGGAGUGAACUGGCAGUAAGCCUGCAAUACAGUGGUGGCAAUGACACUGACUGUCCUCUGGAGAUGCUGAAGCUCAGCUUUAUUUUGAACUUCUUUCUUAGACCUUCCAACUUUUCCACAAAGGAUUUAACAUUGAUUUGGAUUCAUAUGGUAUACAGUAGUCAUGGAUAUGGAUUUUUUCUUCCUGUCACUUGACAUCUGCAUCUUUCCAGCAGUCAGUGAAAGAGUCAGUAUGAGGUCUGCUGACAUUUGGUCUGUUUUCCAGAGCUCUGAGUGACAGGUAUUGUAAACAUCCUACACUCUCAGCUGUGGAAACUAAAAAAGCUGGGAGAAGGCUGUUUACUCUUCCUGCCUUGGAAAUCGUCCAGAGGGCAAGGAUGGAAUAUUGUGAGCUCUGUGUUGAUUGUAUUUCUGACAACCUGUAUUUCAUACUUUACAUUAUGGUGUCAGUAAACGAAUUAUGGCAUUAUGUCAUGUCAUCAGUGUCUUGUGUUCUGACCAGAAGGGCCUUAUGAUGUGCUUUGGCUGCUCUGCUGGCUUGAGGGAAGCUUAAAUAGUAGCCAUAAUGCAAUACAAUACUUUCAUUCUUAAGAAGUGAUUAAAACAGACCUGUAACACUGUU